rnacentral:sRNA from 1 species
AGGGCGUUAAAACAGAAAAAUUUGCCAAGGAUAAUAUUCAUAGAUAAUGGUACAAGAUCCAUAAGUAAAAGAAUAUUUACCUAAAAAUAAUUAAUUAUUAAAAAAUAUUUUCGUGACUCUCACCAAAAAGAAAAAACCAUUUAUUCGUUCUUCUUCUUCUCGCAAAAUGGAAACCUGCUCCCACCGCACUCCCAUAAGUCAUAUUGCAUUGUCGUCUCUCUUGCUCACUUUGGCGUCGCUUUCUCUGCUCUCUAUCGCUCAUUGGCAUUAUGCUCCAUCUUGAAUUAGAUUUCAUUUGUCGUUGAUGAGUGAUCACGUUGAGAAAUUGAAGCUUGUUGUUGAAAAUUCCCAUUUUUUAAGCCCGAGGCUGGUUUGUUCUAACUUGAAGAGAAUAACUCCAACUCCAAUCGCCCUCUUUACUUGAUAAGUUCAAGGAAUGGGUUUUGAGAGGGGAUGAAGAAAUACUGUUGAAAAGGUUGUUUAUAUACUUGAUCAAGUGUGUACCCUUGAGAAUGAGAUGCUCGUUCGGAUUAAGAAACAAACACUAGAUUUCCGUCUUAGAAUUCUGAUUGUUACCAGGCUAACACUUGAUGCAAAUCGGACAGCUUGCAACCAAUGACUAGAAAUGUAACACCCAGGAUAUUACGAGUUAUGAUAAAAGUUUGAAAUAUACAAGACUUUACUCAUGCAGAAAAAUAUAAUUUGUAAAAGCUUUAUUAGUUAAACAUGUGGAAUUAAAAUAAAGAUAUAAACUCUUCAAAUAUAAUAUCUUGAUUACAUUCUUCAAGUUGGCUACAAUGGUUUUUGCUUUGAAGAUGUGGAGGCACUAUCUUUAUGGGACACAGUUUGAAGUCUUUAGUGACCAUAAGAGUUUGAAGUACGUGUUUGACCAGAAGGAGUUGAACAUGCGUCAGAGGAGGUGGAUGAAGUACUUGAAGGACUACAACUAUGAGCUAUAGUAGCAUCGAGGUAAAACAAAUGUUGUUGCAGAUGCUUUGAGUAGGAGGAGAGUUCAGAUGUCUUCUGUUGAGAUUGUUUAUAGGGGAAGCACAGGAGUAGCUGAACCCACAAUCUCUGUGAUAUUUGUUUUUGAUGA